rnacentral:rRNA from 1 species
AGCGGCGGACGGGUGAGUAACGCGUGGGUAACCUGCCUCAUACAGGGGGAUAACAGUUGGAAACGGCUGCUAAUACCGCAUAAGCGCACAGCACCGCAUGGUACGGUGUGAAAAACUCCGGUGGUAUGAGAUGGACCCGCGCCUGAUUAGGUAGUUGGUGGGGUAACGGCCUACCAAGCCGACGAUCAGUAGCCGACCUGAGAGGGUGACCGGCCACAUUGGGACUGAGACACGGCCCAA